AAUAUUUUUAUGAAACUUGAAAUAUGGGUAGAUGGCAGUCUGGAGGUUAUGCACAUCUUUUUCUUUUUUUCUUAUGUUGAAAAUUCUGGUUGCUAUGGCAACAAAUAGCCUGAAUUUCAAGAUUUCUGAUUUAAAUUUUUCAGAUUUUUCACUAUAUGUUCUUUAUUUCUUAAGGUGUUUACUUCAAACUUUAAAUAUAAGUUUUUGGUCAUCAACCACAUCAUAUGUGACAAGGUUUAUAACUCUAGCACAAAAAAUAUCAGUAUUACCUCCCUUGAACUUAGAUUUUUUAGGGGAAAAAAUGUUGUCUUUUUUAAAUAACUUCUUUAUUUCCUAAUGUAUCUACUUCAAACUUCAUAUAUAUGUUUCUUAUUAUCACUCGACAUUUUUGAGAAGGUUAAAUACUCUAGCAAGACUAUUUCCAGAAUUAUGUCCCCCUUGAACUUAGAUUUUUUUUGAGAUACUGGUAUUUUCACUCCAACUUCUUCAUUCCUUAUAGGAUUUACUUUAAAAUCACACAUCGUAAUAAUAUGACAAGGUUGUAUAAACAUAAUUUCCUUACUAAGCAUGGAAACUUAACACAUUACUGUGAUAUAGACAAACUUAUUUUAUUAUGUUUUGUGGUCGAUAUUUUCAAAUACAGACUUCAUCCUCAAAUUCAUUAUAAAUGGCAAUACACAGGAGUGUAUGACAAUUAAAGAACUUUUUGAGGGACCGGUAGGGGACUACUGUAUUGCCCGCAAUACUAUCAAAUGCUUGUUUUCAUACAAAUUUUUACAUAAAAUCCAUAAACUGUAGGAUAGUGAAGCACAUUGGAAGAAAUUUAUGAGAAAUACUGCCUGAAAAAGAACAAUAACAUUGAAUUAUAAUUAUUGAUAAUAAUUGUCCAAACACUGAUUUACAGGGACUGUUUCAAAUUUUCCAUGAACAUUACAAAAGGAUUUUUUAUGCCCCCACUUUUUAACUUGAGAAGAAACUAUAAGCUGUGCUUUAUGUCACUUUGUAGGGACAUGGCCUGUUGAUUUUGAGGACAUUUGGUCAAAGUUCAAGGUCACAGUGACACUGAAUUUAAAAUCUUUUUUUUCUCAGUUGAAGGCAUAAGCCAUGGUCUAUAUUAAUCGUUAUAAAAAUUCUUGACAGGUUACAUAGCCCCCCUAUUAUUUAUCAACUUCUUGUUAAGGUUAUACAGAUUUCUUUAGUCACAUUUAAACACUGUUUAUAUGUGUUCAUAUUAUUAGGCUAAGCUGAUUUCUGCAGCCAUGUUCUCAUACUGUUAGAUAAUACUGAUUUCUGCAGCCAUGUUUUGAGUAUUUUUUAUUUCAUCAAAUUCUGCAGCUAAUAUUCAUAAUGUAGCUGAUCUCUGCAGUUAUACUUUUAUAAUGUAAACUAUUCCUACAGGCAUAUAUUUUUAAGUUACUUUGAUUUCUGCAGCCAUCUUUACAAUGAGUUUUUGCAGCCAAUAUUUUAUUGUUAGGUGACACUUUCUUUUUCAGCCUAAGAGUUACAUUGCUAGGAUACACUGAUUUCUGCAGUCAUGAUUAUAUUGUUAGGUAACACUGAUUUUGCAGGCAUGAUUAUGUCAUUAGAUUAUACUGAUUUCUGCAGCCAUGUUUAUAUUGUGAUGUUACACUGAUUUUUCGCAGCCAUGUUUAUAUUGUUAGGUGACACUAAAUUUUUCAGUCUUAAUUACAUUGCUAGGUCACAGUAAUUUUUGCAGCCAUGAUUAUAAUGAAAGGUUACACUGAUUUUUGCAGCCAUGAUUAUAUCAUUAGAUUACACUGAUUUCUGCAGCCAUGUUAAUAUUGUGAUGUUACACUGAUUUUUGCAGCCAUGAUUAUUUUAUUAGGUUACACUGAUUUUUCAGCUAUGUUUAUGUUAUAUGUUACACUGAUUUCUGCAGCCACUGAUUUCUGCAGCCAUGUUUAUUUUGUUAGGUUACACUGAUUUCUGCAGCCAUGUUUAUAUUGUUAGGUUACACUAAUUUUACAGCCAUGUUUAUAUUGUUAGGUUACACUGAUUUCUGUACUUAACAGACCAACAUUGGCACCACAUGACAUGCUCUUGUUAGCUCACCUGACCACAAAUGAAUGGGAGGUGAGGUUUGUGAUAGACUGAUAUCCAUCAUAUGUCAUGCUUCAGCUGUAUAGUUAUUUACAACUUAUUUUAACAAUAUCUCCUCCAAAGUCAUGUGGUAGAUUUUGAUUAAACUUCACAGGAAUAUUCCCCUGGUGAUCCUCUACAUAAGUUAUAUAAAUGGUUCAAGUCUAAUGUGUAAGUAGGACACAGGAGCUAGAAAUAGACUUAAAAAUUAAAACUUUAAAUAAUCUUAAGAAAAGACUCUCAUAAUCACUUAGUUUACAUAUACUUAUAUAAGAAAACAUAUUUAAACUGUCUUCUUUGAAAUUACAUAUCCUAGAGCUUAGAUUUGGUUGCAUGCAGAGCAAAUUUCAGAUAUUGGCUUUGUAGCCUCAUCUUUUGGUACUGUACAAAAUUUUUAUAAAUUAUACCACAAAAAUCAGAUUUGGCCCCACUCUUUUGGUGGAAAGGACCAGAGGUCCACAAUCCUUAAAAACUGUAAAAUGGAUUGACUUCAAACUUCAAGAUAGUAUAUAACAGCUUUGACAAGUCUAGAAGUGCAGAAUUAUUUUCUUUUCUGAAUUUAAAUUAGGGAUGGCAACGAAUACAAAAAUCAAUACUCGAGUACUCGGUCAUUUUUCCGAUCGAGUACUCGGUUACUCGGAUGAUUUCCAAUGAUCUCACAGUAUCAACACCGUCCGGAUGCUACUUUCGUUUUCUAUUUAAAUUAAUAGAAUUCGUAGCUAUAAAUAGGACUGCACGGGAGGGAGACAAAUUAAUUAAAAUUAAUUUAACAACAUCAUAUUUUACAACGUUUUAAUUAAUGCAAUAGCAAGUUUAAAACGAGUAUGACAGUUCAUAUAUCUUUUUUCGUCUUGAAAUAAUAUAGACUGAUCGGCGGCAACAAAAGUUUAAAAAGGGUCUAAAUACUAGUUCCCCUUAGUGUUGCAUUCAUAAUAGCAAUCGGCCCUUUGUUGUUUUCAAAAUAGUUACUCCGCUACAAACUGUUACUGAAUAUCAUAAGAGCUGUAUGACAUAAGCGACACAUGUGCGCGUGUCAAACCGUUGAUCGCCUAUCAUUUUCGCACCUCUGCAAGGAUGUUUUGAUUACAUUUAACAGGUAUUUAAUGAAGAUAAUGCAUAUCUCCGAAAAUUGGACACACCUAUUAUUCUAAAUUGUAAAAACAUAUAAAUUAUAUAUUUUUUCCGAGUAAUCGAAUAUCAAUUUUGUUAACCGAUAUUCGAACGUUCGAUCGAGUACUCGGUUAACCGGUUACUCGUUGCCAUCCCUAAUUUAAAUUCAAUUUGCAGAUUGUGAAAUAGAUAAACAAACUAUAAAUGGCAGCAUAACUUUUACUGGUGCCAUUUUAUAGUUAUCUCCCUUUGUUUAAUCUGCAGCAUAUUGUUUGGUAACAUUUUUUUGUUGAGCAAUAUUUGUUGGUUUUACAAUCAUGAUUCAGUCAUAGAUAUACAUUGAUCCAAAUUAUGCUAUGUAUAUUUCUUGGGCAUGUGAAAUUUAACCACCAUAUAUAUCAUUGUAGUUGCUUAAUUUCUCUUUUUUUUGCCAAGGGUUUUUAAAUCUUGAUCUGAUUUAAUUCAUUUGCUUUUUUAAGUUACUUGAACAUGUUGGGAGAAAAAUGUUAAAUACAACAAAUGUUUAUCAAAGUGUUGUUGACAUGCUGUUGAAACUUGUAUAUAGGAUCUCAACAUGAGUUGCCAAAAUAUAUAUAAUUUUAUUAAAUGAGUUCAUGAAAUUGUUAAAAGUGAACCUCUUGAUGAGUUUGAUAAAAUUUUAUAUGACAACUAAUGUGAGAUUCCUUGUAUCUCAUUACUAAAUGCAUUGAAAUUAAUUCAUAACUAUUUGAAGCAUACGGAGAGCUUUUGUACAUACUAAGGUGUUGACGUCACACUUUGGGUGAAGGUUUUUGCAUGCAAAUUGCUAUCUCAUAAAUCUCUGAAGGGAAUGGAUUGAAACUUGACACACUUUCACACAUUUGUUUUAAAGCAUAAUAGGAGGUCACUGACCAUAACUUUAAUAUGGAUUUUGACAGAAUUUUGGCCCUUUUUGAACUAAGAAAAUACAGCAUUAUCAAGGCUCUUGUUUUACUAUUAAGUACUGAGAUAGUCGAGCAUGCUUUCCUAAUGACAGCUCUCGUUUAAAUUAAUUACACCAAUUUUUGUAUGGUGUUUUCCUUAUGAAAUAUAUAGAAAAAUUGAAGUCUCAACCAUGUUAUAUAACACAUAUGUAAUAUAAAGAAAUAUGUAAUGCUUAUAUUACAUAAAGAAACAAAAUGUCUUAAAUAAAUGUAAAAAAAAAAAUAGUAAAAUACCAAAAGAGAAUUGAUAAUUUUAUUUGCAUUUAGACUUUUAUUCACUUUUGUAAAGAUAUCUAUACAGAUAUUAUAAAUAAUUGUGGCAUAGUUUAUUAAUUGGUUUCACUUUUAAGAGUAAAUCUUUUGAAAGUUUUAUAAUAAAAUCUUGGUUUGUAUUGGGCAAGCUGAAGCUGUUAAGCUUCAUUCAUUACACACAAAUAUCUCAUUAGUUUGGGCAUUUUGGUGGCUACUGUAUUCAUGAAUCAAUGAAUAUUACAGUUGAUGAUGAUAAAAGAGACAAAACUUGUUGUUUUGAUGCGAUUUUAUAUGCUGAAUUAAUUAGUUCACAAGCAGUUUUGUACUGUAAUGUCAUUAAAAUUGAUGCAUAUGUA